rnacentral:rRNA from 1 species
GAGCGGAUCGACGGGAGCUUGCUCCCUUAGGUCAGCGGCGGACGGGUGAGUAACACGUGGGUAACCUGCCUGUAAGACUGGGAUAACUCCGGGAAACCGGGGCUAAUACCGGAUGCUUGAUUGAACCGCAUGGUUCCAAUCAUAAAAGGUGGCUUUCAGCUACCACUUACUGAUGGACCCGCGGCGCAUUAGCUAGUUGGUGAGGUAACGGCUCACCAAGGCGACGAUGCGUAGCCGACCUGAGAGGGUGAUCGGCCACACUGGGACUGAGACACGGCCCAGACUCCUACGGGAGGCAGCAGUAGGGAAUCUUCCGCAAUGGACGAAAGUCUGACGGAGCAACGCCGCGUGAGUGAUGAAGGUUUUCGGAUCGUAAAACUCUGUUGUUAGGGAAGAACAAGUACCGUUCGAAUAGGGCGGCACCUUGACGGUACCUAACCAGAAAGCCACGGCUAACUACGUGCCAGCAGCCGCGGUAAUACGUAGGUGGCAAGCGUUGUCCGGAAUUAUUGGGCGUAAAGCGCGCGCAGGCGGUUUCUUAAGUCUGAUGUGAAAGCCCCCGGCUCAACCGGGGAGGGUCAUUGGAAACUGGGGAACUUGAGUGCAGAAGAGGAGAGUGGAAUUCCACGUGUAGCGGUGAAAUGCGUAGAGAUGUGGAGGAACACCAGUGGCGAAGGCGACUCUCUGGUCUGUAACUGACGCUGAGGCG